GGCCUCCAUCAACAGCUCCUUCAGGCCCUGGUGGUCCGAGCUUGGCACUGGCCAGGGCGAUCCGGCUUCGAGAAGGCAAAGGAAAAACGAGGUCCAGUGGACGCCAAAGGAAGAAACUUGGGCUUCUCUCCGGUUAUCCACCCGCGGUGCCCGCCGCCCGACCCCCUCAUACAUCAAAUAGGCCCGGAGGUGGUAAAUUACCCCGGCUCCUGCAGUUCCCAACCCAGGGGCUGCAGGACUCACUCUGGGCUCCGCGCUGGGCCCUCCCCUCCGACGGCCGCUGGACCUCCCGUUUGUCCAGGCCCAGAGACCUGCGCCCCGCGCUGAGCCUUGGGCCUCUCUCUGAGGGUCCUCCUCAGGCAAAGACCUGGGUGGUGGUGGUUCCUGUCCCUCCUCGCUGCCCUCCCGGGGGGGGGGGCACCUCGGAGACCCGGGCCUCGCGAACUGCUCCAGCCUCUGGGGCGACCCUUGGCCAGGCCCUGGGAGGGGAAAGAGGAGAGGCGGCGUUGCAGGCGGGGGCGCGGAGGAGGCGGGAGGGGCCCCGGAAGCUCCAGCAGGGCCAGGGGGGAGGUCGGCGGAGAGGGGGCGCAGGCAGGGAAGGGAGGCCUGGAGGAGGGGACCUGUCGCCCUCAGCCUCGUUGGUAACCGGCCUCUCCAUAGCAACGGCCUGCGCGCGCGCCUGUGUGCAGAGUGUGUGUGUGUGUGUGUGUGUGUGUGUGCGCGCGCGCGCGCGCGUGUGCAGAGAGUUCCUGCGCCUCCCCAGUCCUGGGUGGGGGUCUCAGAACCAGGGGGGCGGAAGGCAGGGACGGCCCCUCCAGGACCGGAGGGCUGGCCUCCAAAGUGCUGGGGACGCCGUGGGGUCCGGGAACGCCGCGCCGGGCACCGGGCGGGGCGCGGGGUGGAGGGGAACACUCCCAGGCCCCGCGCUUGGCCUAGGGGCAUCAGGGCGCUCGGCCCUCGUCGCCUGGCCGGGGCCCGCCCGCUGCGGUCUCAGGGCCCUGGGACCUCAGCGCAGUGGCGCUGACGACGCGUCUUCCCUGAGACUCCGCGCGGCGCCUCGCAAGGCGCGGCGGGGAGGACUUGGGCCGGGCGGCCGGGGCGGCUGCGCCUCCAUCCCAGGCCGGCUGGAGCCGGGGCAGCCGCGGGGAGCCGCGCGCAGGCUCGGGGAGCGCCCGGGCGGGCUUGCUGGGGCGGGAGGGGAACCCACGCCGGCUCCCAACCCGCCGCGAAGCGCAGAGAGGCUCCGGGAGCCGCCAG
rnacentral:lncRNA from 1 species